rnacentral:rRNA from 1 species
AACGAACGCUGGCGGCAGGCUUAACACAUGCAAGUCGAGCGCCCCGCAAGGGGAGCGGCAGACGGGUGAGUAACGCGUGGGAAUCUACCCAUCUCUACGGAAUAACGCAUGGAAACGUGUGCUAAUACCGUAUACGUCCUUCGAGAGAAAGAUUUAUCGGAGAUGGAUGAGCCCGCGUUGGAUUAGCUAGUUGGUGGGGUAAAGGCCUACCAAGGCGACGAUCCAUAGCUGGUCUGAGAGGAUGAUCAGCCACACUGGGACUGAGACACGGCCCAGACUCCUACGGGAGGAAGCGGUGGAGAAUAUUGGACAAUUGGCGCAAGCCUGAUCCAGCCAUGCCGCGUGAGUGAUGAAGGCCCUAGGGUUGUAAAGCUCUUUCACCGGUGAAGAUAAUGACGGUAACCGGAGAAGAAGCCCCGGCUAACUUCGUGCCAGCCGCCGCAGUAAGAC